rnacentral:rRNA from 1 species
AUUGAACGCUGGCGGCAGGCUUAACACAUGCAAGUCGAGCGGAGAUGAGGUGCUUGCACCUUAUCUUAGCGGCGGACGGGUGAGUAAUGCUUAGGAAUCUGCCUAUUAGUGGGGGACAACAUUCCGAAAGGAAUGCUAAUACCGCAUACGUCCUACGGGAGAAAGCAGGGGAUCUUCGGACCUUGCGCUAAUAGAUGAGCCUAAGUCGGAUUAGCUAGUUGGUGGGGUAAAGGCCUACCAAGGCGACGAUCUGUAGCGGGUCUGAGAGGAUGAUCCGCCCAACUGGGACUGAGACACGGCCCAGACUCCUACGGGAGGCAGCAGUGGGGAAUAUUGGACAAUGGGGGAAACCCUGAUCCAGCCAUGCCGGAUGUGUGAAGAAGGCCUUAUGGUUGUAAAGCACUUUAAGCGAGGAGGAGGCUACUGAGACUAAUACUCUUGGAUAGUGGACGUUACUCGCAGAAUAAGCACCGGCUAACUCUGUGCCAGCAGCCGCCGUAA